UCGAAUCGAGUUUAGUCUAUAAUAUUAGUCCCUGGAAGAGGGCUACCUAUCAUGCAACUUAUAGAGUUGCGUACAGUGGUGGGGUUGUAAACAGUAAGUACAACAUAUUGUUUUUACCAUAGUGGACAACGGGUAUUACAUUUUAUUUUUGUGGAGCUAGCCAAUCUUCGAAUCGAGUUUAGUCUAUAAUAUUAGUCCCUGGAAGAGGGCUACCUAUCAUGCAACUUAUAGAGUUGCGUACAGUGGUGGGGUUGUAAACAGUAAGUACAACAUAUUGUUUUUACCAUAGUGGACAACGGGUAUUACAUUUUAUUUUUGUGGAGCUAGCCAAUUUUCGAAUCGAGUUGAAAAGUUUUUAAGAUAGAAAUGUGGAGCGGAAGGUCAUAUACAAUUUUCAGAUCAAAUUUUCUGCCUCUUUCGUUCCUCAGCCUACGAAAAAUAACACUUCUUUGCGAAAUCACGUUUAACUAAAUGCGCAAUGAUUUUGUAAUUUAGUGUACCAUAUGAAAGAGACGGGCUGGAUCAAGGUAUCACAGAAUGAUGUUGGUGAACUGCAUUACAAAUAUCAAGACGAGAAAAAGAGAUAAAAACUCUGUAAGAAUAGUUUGUACUGUAGUUUGUACUGUUGCUAGGGGUUUGUGUCAAAAUUUAGUCAUUAAAGUUUAAAAAUUUGUGAGAAU
rnacentral:lncRNA from 1 species